UUAUUAACACAUCAUUGCUCAGGCACAGGUCGAGCUCGUCAGGGGAGAGGAAGAUGAUGUCCUCGAUGUUGCUGGCAGUGAUGGGCUUGGACUGACAGCCUGAGGGCAAGAAAUUGUGUCAGGCAGAGGGAGCGUCGUCUGCUCCUGCAGCAUCCUGCCCUGUGGACUGUCCCAUUGUCCCAGCUCCUUCCUGACUGCUGCCACCACAUCCCUGCUCCCAGGUAAGAGCAACCCCCACCUUGUGCUUCAAGGACAUUUCCCCACUCCCCCAGUUUGUGGGAAUCCCAGACUUCUGCCUGGUCCAGCCGGGAGCUCCCAGACCCUCCCAGCCCUGGGCAUUGUCCCCUCCCAGAGCUCUGGCCUGGCCGGAGGGAAGGGAAGCACUCACGGUCCGCGCUGCGCUGCAGCCGGGGCUGGGAGGCAGCCGAGGCUGCUGCGAGCGCCCUGAGGAGGAUCAGGGAUUGCUCCCGCUGGGAACGUCCCUGGCUGAGGUAGGCGGCAGCGAUGCUCCUCCUGAAAUCCUCCCGUGCUGCCUGCGGGGACACAGGGCGCUGGGACCGGGGGGACAGGGACACAGGGUGCUAGGACCGGGCAGCACAGGAUCCUGGGCCCACCAACCUCGGAGCUGACCUGCCUGAUGGUCCUCUCCCCCCGAGGAGGGACCUUACCUCGGCCACCAAACUCAGCGUGGUCUGGUUCAACGCCAGCACGAGCGGCCCCAAAUCCUGCAGAGUCUGUAAAUCCCAGCUUGAAGGAUCCCUGCGGCAGCAGGAGCAGGACCAGCUCAGCAUGCCCGUGGAUUCCCACCCCUCCUGUCUGCCGCCCACCCUUCCAGGAGGGGAAGGCUCCUCACCCGUACGCUGUGUCCCCCGAGAGGAGCAGGGCAUUGAGGGCGUCCUGCUGUGCCUCCGUCAGCGCCGGGCAGAGCUUCAGCUUCUCCAGGAUGUUGGGAUCCGAGGCCGGGACAGUGCCCGGCUCCAGGUCACACACCAGCGCCCCGAGGCUGUACACGUGGGGUGUCAUGAAAAUGUCCCCUAAAAUCAGUGCCGGGGUGCUGCCAUCCCCACGGCCGGGUGGGUGCCCCCAUAUCCCGGGGUUUGGGUGAGGGACAAAACAGCAGCGCCCGGGUUUCAGCCGGGGCGAGGCUCCCGCUGCAGCCGCGUGGAGGAAGGAGAAUUCUCGGUGUGUUUUUGUUUCUGCAGGAGCCCAGCCCGCUGGAAUCCCAGCACGGAACCGGCUGCACAGGGCUGUAAAUCCUCCCUGCCCAGUGACCCGGCGCAGCAGCAGAUGUGGCAUAAACAAAAAUUCACCCCGCGGGACCCCCCGGGACCCCCCAGAGCCCCCGCCGGGGCUGAUACUUACUGGGGAUGCUCAGCGUUGGACAGGACGGCUCCAACAAUCAGGGCAGCCUGGGGAGAUGAUGGGGGAUGCUCAGCCCCGGUAAGGAAAGGGAAGAAGGGAUCUGAGAUGCAGGGAAUGGGAUCUGACCCAGCUGGAGCCCCCAGACUGCUGCCCGUGGGAGCAGCCAGGAGCUGCAGCAGCCCCUGGGUGACUUGUGGGGACAAAAGCCAUCAAAGCCACUCUCAGCAGGGGGACACUCGGGUGGGUGCUUGCCUGGAGCUGGGUUUGGGAGCAGGGCACGCAGGGGAGGGAUGGGACAAGGACAGGGCCACGCUGUGCACAGGGGGACAGCAGGGAGGUGGUGGCUGUGCCGCCCUGCAGCUGAGCACUGCGGGAAUGGUGGCACCUCCAGCGCCAGCUGGGGAAUUUUGGGAAUGCCCUGGCACGGUGGGAGCCAGCAGAGCCGGCAGGGACUCACCGCUGUGGCUUUCACCGGGUCUGUGGAGAUACCUGCAAGGAAGCAGGAGCAGGUUAGGAAACAUCCCUGGAUUAUGAACGGCUCGUCGGGGUUGCUCCAAGCAGCUCCAGGUUUGGAGUCUGGGAAGAGCCUUUCCUUUGCUAAUUUCAUGUUUAGGAAAUGCUGUGGAUCACUAUGAAGGGAGCAGCCCCCAGCCCGAGCACCCCCAGUUCCCCACAGGAGGGUGUGGAAGACAAAAAGGGGAUAAACCCAUCCCUGGAAAUCCGGGAAGAUGUGUCCCUGGGAAAAGCCUGCAGAUGUUGAGGGGAGCAGGAGGCAGAGCCCUGGGAGGGCUGAACCGAGUGGGACUGGGAUGAGGAGCAGCACAGCUGGAGCAUCCCUGGUGCCUGGGGGUGCCUGGGGGCCCGGGGCAGGUUUUGGGGACAGGAUGUGACUCACGGAGGCAGAGGGUGACGGCUGCCAGGGCUGGGGCUGCCCACACCAUGGUGCUGCUGCCAGGGGCUCGUCCUUGGAGCGGAUCCGGAGAGCCGUGUCCCACACUUGGAAUUGCUGGAGGUCCUGGGGCUAAUUCUGUCACCCAGCACUGGGGCUGGAGCUGUGGGGUCAGGGGUCUCACUGUGCCCACCCCGUCUCUGUGAUGCUGCACAGAUGCCCAGCGACCACAGGUGAGAUUUUAAAUCCCACUUAACAGAAAACAGGAUUUUUCCCACCCAUUAUAAAAGAAACUCCACAACUGUCCUGCAGGGACAGGGUCCCCCUCCAUGCCCCAGCUCCUCACCAGCACAGACUGGGAGAAAUCCAGUGUAAGGCAGUGGGGGAGCCCAGCAGGUGUUCCCCACCCCUCCACACCCCUCAGGAGGAUCUCCUGACAGAAAACCAAUCCCUGCUCCUAAAAUUCCCUCGGGGCUGCCCAAAGCAAUCCGUUAUCGCCGUCUGAACUCGAUGCAAGGAAUUUCCCCCCCUAAAUAUCAAUUUUCCCCCCCAAAAUCUCAUUUCCCCACUCCCAACCCUACCGUGGCUGUGUCGAACCGUUCUCUGCCCCCUUGUGCAGGGGGAUUUGGCUCCGGGAUGGGAGGAUUCGGCCGGGAAGGUGCUCGCGGGGCUGGGGCAGGGGCUGGGCAGCGCUCGGCACUUUAUCUGUGCGGGGUGGGGAUGUUGCUCCGCACACGGGGUGUGACGGGGCAGUUUCUCAACUCUGUUUUGUCAGGCUCCUUUCCUUCUCCCUGGGUAUGCUUUGGGGCUGUUUCCUACUUCUCAUAAAGGGUCACUGAGAUCUGGGUUCAGCUGAACCGAAAGUGAACCCAGAAGGAGUUAAAGCCUCUGGUUUGGGAGUUUCUGUGCUCCUGAGGGGGAUUCAGGUGCUCCUGGUGAGGGGAAAACCUGUAGAGCUGCUCAGGGGUUAUUUUAUAGGGCAGGCAGGGUACAGAACAGAGUGAGCUCAGUGAUGGGCUCCGCAUCCUCUGGGAGAUGUCUCCCCUCUCCUUUUCGCCUGGAUCACAGUCAAUCCCGUUCCCUUUUUUUCAGCUUUACCCCCCGAUCAUGCUCCAAAAUGCUGUCGAGCACGUGUCAUGAAGGGAACCAAGACCAAAGGAAUCAAAUCCUUCCCGGGGCUCUGAGAUGACAACCUGGAGGAGCUGUGAGCACAAACUUUAUGUGAGCGUUUAUCCCGGGAAAAGGGAAGGGUGGCUGGGCUGGAGCAGGGCUGCACCCCCCUCUCAGCCAGGUUUGGGGGCCCCAGCCCUCCCCAAGGGUCCCUGGAGCUGCUGGCCGUGUCAAGAGGGGUUUGUCACCCCCUGCCCUGUCCUGUCCCCAGCCCCGUCCCCCAACCGGUCCUGCAGCCCCAGGGCUGGGUCGACGCCCAUGGGUGUUGCUGGUUUCUAUUUUGGAAGGAUUUACUGUGAAAAUAGCUCCUGUUGGGGCAGUAAAAUUACAGAAUGCUAUGAGGCUGCUGGAGUGACACAGCCCCUGCCUCAGGCUGGCUGGACAGAGGUGGCUGGAGCAGGAGGACAGGGACACAUCAGGGCCACUCGGGGGGUCACUGUGUCCGCUGUGUCCCUGUGGAGAUCAAAGCUGGCCCUGAAACCCCCUCGGGAGCUGCCACUGGAGGAUCCACCCUGAACUUGAACAUGUGGAGGAACAUCUGCCCCAGGCUGUUCGUGGGGACAUUCCCAGGUCUGCCGGGUCGGAGCCCCGGGGCCGCUCCCGCGGGGCCGGUCCGGCCUCAUUCCCCUCAUUCCUGGAAGCCCCCGAGAAAUGGAUGCAGAGAGCGGACAGUGAAGGGCAGAGACACGUUUAAUACAGCAAAUACACCAAAACUGGAACUGCGGAGUGCACGGGACAUCACGGCCACAGCACAACCCCAGGGCACCGGAGGAGGCACAGCCCCGCGGGCAGGAGGGGACAGGACGGGGACACGGCCCUGGAACGCAGCCGGGAAGGGCGCCUGGAAAACUCCCUCUCCAGGGUAAGGAAAAAUCUAUUUUAUCUCUGGCACUGGGGAGAAGCAGCACGCAAAGGCUGGGCUGGGGUGUGGGGGCUCCUCCACACAAACACGGUGGGCUCGGGGUGCCAGCCCCAUCCAUGUCCCCACGUCCCCACCCCUCAUCCCGGCCGUGUUCCCGGCAGGGCCCGCUCCCAGCACGGACAAGGCUGGGUCCCCCUGUGACAGGCGAAUCCCCGCUGCCACUUUCCAGCACCUCCCCUGAGCGUCACCCCUCGAAUCUUUGGCAAACAAAUUCCUUGUGUUCCUUCCCAGCUGCGGGACCCCUCCCGGCCACCAGGCCUGGCAGGAAGGACAAGGGGCUCCUGCUCCUCCUGUCCCCCCGAGCCCCCUGGCAGCAGCCCUGAGCCCACCGUGCCCGCUCAGUGCCCAGGGCUGGCAUCUCAGGCCAUCCCCACCCUGCAGUGGUGGCACCAAGCCACAACAGAAAGGGACAGGUGAUCCAGUUCUCCCCCCGGGGAUUUUGGUGAUUUACAGGGUGUGUUUAUGCACAAGGAAGGGUUUUGAUUUUUUUAUUCCCCCUCAGGGUGGGAAUAUCAGCUGUGUGAACCCCAUCAGGUGUGCUUUACACGGGAUGGGGUUGGAGAGGUGACAACAACUCUGGGCAUGUGCUGACAUGGUCCUUGAAAGCCCUGGGAUGGGGCUGUGUGGCUCCCCAGCUGUCCUGUUCUCCUCACUUCCAAAUGUCCCCCGAGGGCUGCAGAGGAUGAGCAGGGAAGGGGAAAGCAAAGCAGGAUGACCAGCAAAGCAAGGGCACUUCCAAGGAAAUUUCUUGGCAUCUGUCAAAGCUGAGCUCCUGCCUGCUCUUCCCAUCAGUUCUCAGCCUUUCUUUCACCUUUGUGCUUUUCCAACUGUUCCAGAGCUUCCCCAAACUGCCCAGCUGAAGGACCUGGAAACCUGCCAGGCAGGAGCCACCCCCUGGAACCUACACAGGACACUGAUCCCUCCUCAGGUGGGUGAGCAGAAAGUGACUUGUGCCCUCUGACCUGUCUCAGCAGUGAUAAAAGCAGGAAAGGCAGUGCUAGUAGAAGGAAUAAUAAAAUCCAUUUAAAAAGCUUUGGGCUGCUGGCUCUCUGACCACAGAAGUACUAAAAAUACCUCAUUCCUGAGACCACCCGUAUUUUACAAACCCUAAAAGACUAGAUUCUCUUCCUAGAAAAUUGAAAAAAGUUUAAAAUCCAUUGGUAUCAACCCCUUCACCUUCACCAAACCUUUAAAAACUGCCCAAGUGGGCUGAGGGAAGGAGGGGGUGAGGGGCAGGGACCUUUCCAUGCCCAUCCCAGUCCAGUUUCACAGGACACCCUGGGACUGGGGGACUAUCAGUGUCCCCAGAAUGUGCUCCAGCUCCCAAUCAUGGCACAGCAGCUGGAGUGAGGGAAUGGGAAUGGGGGACAGGGACACUGGAGCUGCACCCAGCACAUUCUCCCUUCCUGUGCCAGGCUGCAAUUCUGCAUCCAAGCAUGGAGAGGCUGUGGGGGAUGUCCAUGGCAAAAGCAGUGCCCAGCUGUGCCCGAGCCCCAGGACAGGGAUGGAAAGCUUUGGGGUCACUCUAAGCUGGAGUGUGACACUGACUCUGCUGCUGAGGCCCAGGAUUGGGAAAGGGACAUCCCGUGACCAGAUGGAUGAUGGGCAUCACAAAAUAACCCCACCCCAACCGCUCCUAAAAUCCACCUGAUGCCAGCCCCAGGAACGAGGGAAGCCACAGAGGGAGUGCAGGUGUGGAGGCGGCGCUGGGCUCCGUGGGGACAAGGCUGGAGCUGGAAAUGCAGGGAUGUGCUUUGUGCUCACUCCAGAGCCCACUCAGCCAGCCACUGCUCGCAGCGCGCCCGCUGCUCCUCCGUCUCCUCCCUGCUGCCUUCACCCCCUGCUCCCUCCUCUCUGGCAGCUUCCCGGCUCUCCUCCUCCUCCUCCUUGUGUGUCCCCUUGUCCUUGAGCUCCUGGAUGACGUCCUCCAGCCGCUGGGUGACGUGCUGGGGCACCCAGUUGCUGUCCAUGGCAGUGACGAAGGGGUCGGGCGCGCACACCUCGAUCAGCUCCUUGCCGGUGGGAAUGCGCAGGUAGUAGGCGUGGAGCAUCAUCCUGUAGGGAUUGCUGUCCUGCCUGUGGCUGUAGGUGAAGUCCCCCACGAUGGGGUGGCCGAUGGCGCUGCAGUGAACCCGGAGCUGGUGAGUCCUCCCUGGGGGGAGAGUGGGAAUCAGGGACAGGGAAUUCCUGAAUGCCUCCUUCAGGGCAUGGUGACAAUACACCUAAUGGCAUUUGUCCUCCUGAGCACGGCAGGUCUCAGUUCCCUCAUCCCUUUCCAGGCUCUGCUGCAUGUCAGAGCUGCCCCUGUCCCCACCUGUCAGUGGCUGCAGCAGCACUUUGGUGACGGGGUCUCCGCUGUAGGAUCCAUGUUCCAGCACCAUCAGCUCCGACUGGCACGGCUUGGGAUUCUCACAGCCUGCAAGGAGAUCCAGAGGGGCUGAACACCCCCAACUUCCUCAGGGCAGAGUUGUUCAGGAACACCAGAAGGCCAAGGCAGGAGGUGGCAGGGAGGGCUCACCAGGGCCAGGUAGGCUUUGGUCACCAGGCGCUCCUUGAAGCACUUGUAAGCACUUCCCGCAGCCGCUUUGUUGAGUGCCACACACAGGGCCCCGCUGGUGGAGAAAUCCAGCUGGUGGCAGAACCUGGGAAGGACACGGGGGUAAAGGAGCAUCCUGGGCACCUCAGGAGUGUCCCCAGCUGAGCGCAGAGCCGGGCUCGGCGCGCAGGCGCUCACCUGAAGCCGUAGUAGGUGUCGGGGUCGGCCAGCUCGGGGAAGCGGUGCUUGAGCUGGCUCUGCAGGGUCAGUGUCUCGUACCACAUCUUGCUGUCGAUGCGCAGGUCCCAGUGCUUGUUCACCACGAUGAAGUCGGAGCUCUGGUACAGGAUGGACAGGUUGUCGAUGGUGCCCGGCUCCAUGGCCA